rnacentral:rRNA from 1 species
UACGUAGGGUGCGAGCGUUUGUCCGGAAUUACUGGGCGUAAAGAGCUCGUAGGUGGUUUGUCGCGUUGUCCGUGAAAACUCACAGCUUAACUGUGGGCGUGCGGGCGAUACGGGCAGACUGGAGUACUGCAGGGGAGACUGGAAUUCCUGGUGUAGCGGUGAAAUGCGCAGAUAUCAGGAGGAACACCGGUGGCGAAGGCGGGUCUCUGGGCCGUAAGCUGACGCUGAGGAGCGAAAGCGUGGGAGCGAACAGG